AACAAUCUCAGGGAGGUGGUUAUGAUUACUACAAUCAGCAGGCCCCACCACCGCAGCAACAAACUCCUGGUGGCACAGCUGCUUCAACCGAUAAUAGUGCCUACGGUUACAACCAGCAAUCAGCCUCGGGUUACAGCCAAGGACAAGCUUAUUCUCAAGAUGGCUAUGGUGGAUAUCAUGCACCUGCACCUCAAUCUGGUUAUCAGGGCACUGGUUAUGAGCAGCAACAAGGUUAUAGCUCUGCAGCUGGUUAUGGGAAUGCCUCAAACCCAACAUCAGAUGGCCAGAAUUCUUCAUAUGGUACACAAGGCGAUGGCAGUCAAGCACCUCCACCAGUUCAGUCAUCAGCCACGGGUCAACAAGGUAAUUACCCAUCUCAGGGCUCUACUCAGGCAGGCUAUGGGAUGCCACCAACUUCUCAAGGUGGGUAUGGGACGCCACCACCUGCAGGCUAUGCUGCGAGCUAUGGGGCCCCACAGGCCCAAAAGCCUUCUCCUAGUCAGCCAGCUUAUGGUCAGCCACAGCAGUCUCCUAGCGCACAAGGAGGUUAUGCCCAGCCUCCCCCAGCACAGCCUGGAUAUCCACAGCCAGCUGCUCAAUCAGGUUAUGCGCAGCCUGAUUCUGGCACUCAGCGACCUCCUGCUUCUGGCUAUGGUGCUCCAACAGCUCAGCCUGGUUAUGGUGCCCCACCUUAUGGGGCUCCACCUAGUUAUGGCCAACAGCAGCCACCACCUUACAACAGUGCCUAUGCUGGUGGUUACGCCCAGCCUCCAGCGUAUGCUUCUGAUGGCACAACUCCAGCGUCCCAGUCUGUUCAGCCUAGUGGUGGGGUUGCAAAAGCAUCACCUCAAAGUUAAUGUGAGUCAACUUU
rnacentral:lncRNA from 1 species